rnacentral:rRNA from 1 species
AGACCCGAAACCCGGUGAUCUAGCCAUGGGCAGGUUGAAGGUUGGGUAACACUAACUGGAGGACCGAACCGACUAAUGUUGAAAAAUUAGCGGAUGACCUGUGGCUGGGGGUGAAAGGCCAAUCAAACCGGGAGAUAGCUGGUUCUCCCCGAAAGCUAUUUAGGUAGCGCCUCGUGAAUUCAUCUCCGGGGGUAGAGCACUGUUUCGGCUAGGGGGCCAUCCCGGCUUACCAACCCGAUGCAAACUGCGAAUACCGGAGAAUGUUAUCACGGGAGACACACGGCGGGUGCUAACGUCCGUCGUGAAGAGGGAAACAACCCAGACCGCCAGCUAAGGUCCCAAAGUCAUGGUUAAGUGGGAAACGAUGUGGGAAGGCCCAGACAGCCAGGAUGUUGGCUUAGAAGCAGCCAUCAUUUAAAGAAAGCGUAAUAGCUCACUGGUCGAGUCGGCCUGCGCGGAAGAUGUAACGGGGCUAAACCAUGCACCGAAGCUGCGGCAGCGACACUGUGUGUUGUUGGGUAGGGGAGCGUUCUGUAAGCCUGUGAAGGUGGCCUGUGAGGGUUGCUGGAGGUAUCAGAAGUGCGAAUGCUGACAUAAGUAACGAUAAAGCGGGUGAAAAGCCCGCUCGCCGGAAGACCAAGGGUUCCUGUCCAACGUUAAUCGGGGCAGGGUGAGUCGACCCCUAAGG